rnacentral:rRNA from 1 species
CAGCCGUAAACUAUGCGCGUUAGGUGUAUCGGUGACCACGAGUCACCGAGGUGCCGAAGGGAAACCGUGAAACGUGCCGCCUGGGAAGUACGGUCGCAAGGCUGAAACUUAAAGGAAUUGGCGGGGAGCACCACAACGGGUGGAGCCUGCGGUUUAAUUGGACUCAACGCCGGGAAGCUCACCGGAUAAGACAGCGGAAUGAUUGCCGGGCUGAAGACCCUGCAUGACUAGCUGAGAGGAGGUGCAUGGCGUAGACGUCU